AAUGAGUUCUGAAUCUUGCGCUCAGGAUUGAACGCUAAGCGGGAGGCCUAACACAUAGCAAGUCGAACUGGGAUUCACCUUCGGAGUGAUGAGAGUGGCCGCACGGGUGAGUAACGCGUAUGCAAUCCUUCCUCCAAUCAGGCUGGGAUAGCCCGGGAGAAAUCCGGAUUAAUACCCCAUAUUAUUAUAGUUUCGCAUGGGACUUUAAUGAAAGCUUUGGCGGUUUGGGAUGGGCAUGCGUGGCAUUAGCUUGUUGGUGAGGUAACGGCUCACCAAGGCGACGAUGCCUAGGGGUUCUGAGAGGAUGAUCCCCCGAUCAACUGAGACACGGACCAGACUCCUACGGGAGGCAGCAGUGAGGAAUAUUGGUCAAUGGGCGCAAGCCUGAACCAGCCAUCGAGCGUGAAGGAAGACUGCCCUAUGGGUUGUAAACUUCUUUUGUACAUGAAGAACGGGCCUUACGCGUAAGGUUAUGACGGUAAUGUACGAAUAAGCAUCGGCUAACUCCGUGCCAGCAGCCGCGGUAAUACAUCAGAUGCGAGCGUUAUCCGGAUGUCAUUGGGUUGUAAAGGGUACGUAGGUGGCCCUGUAAGUCAGUGGUGAAAACCUGCCGCUUAACGGUAGGCGUGCCAUUGAUACUGCGGGGCUUGAGUACAGAUGAGGUAGGCGGAAUGUGUAGUGUAAGCGGUGAAAUGCAUAGAUAUUACACAGAACUCGCGAUUGCGAAGGCAGCUUACUACUCUGCAACUGACGCUGAUGUACGAAAGCGUGGGUAGCGAACAGGAUUAGAUACCCUGGUAGUCCACGCCGUAAACGAUGCUCACUGGCUGUAUGCGAUACACAGUAUGUGGCCAAGCGAAAGCGCUAAGUGAGCCACCUGGGGAGUACGCCGGCAACGGUGAAACUCAAAGGAAUUGACGGGGGCCCGCACAAGCGGAGGAACAUGUGGUUUAAUUCGAUGAUACGCGAGGAACCUUACCUGGGCUUAAAUGCCAAGUGACGGACGCUGAGUCGUGUCUUUCUUCGGACACUCUUCAAGGUGCUGCACUGGUUGUCGUCAGCUCGUGCCGUGGAGGUGUCGGGUUAAGUCCCAUAACGAGCGCCAACCCUUACCGUUAGUUACCAUCAGGUGAAUGCUGGUGGACUCUAGCGGGACUGGCCACCGUAAGGUGAGAAGGAAGGCGGCAGGAUGACGUCAAAUCAGCACGGCCCUUAUGUCCAGGGCUACACACGUGUUACAAUGGCCGGUACAAAGGGCAGCUACUCCGCGAGGAGAUGCUAAUCUUAAAAAGCCGGUCUCAGUUCGGAUCGAAGUCUGCAACCCGACUUCGUGAAGCUGGAUUCGCUAGUAAUCGCGCAUCAGCCAUGGCGCGGUGAAUACGUGAACGGGCCUUGUACACACCGCCCGUCAAACCAUGGAAGUUGGCUAUACCUGAAGUCUGUUACCGCAAGGAGCGGCCUAGGGUAAAACCAAUGACUGGGGUUAAGUCGUAACAAGGUAGCAGUGGA
rnacentral:rRNA from 1 species